UACGUAGGGUGCGAGCGUUGUCCGGAAUUAUUGGGCGUAAAGGGCUCGUAGGCGGUUUGUCGCGUCGGGAGUGAAAUCCACUGGCUUAACUGGUGGCUUGCUUUCGAUACGGGCAGACUGGAGGUAUGCAGGGGAGAACGGAAUUCCUGGUGUAGCGGUGAAAUGCGCAGAUAUCAGGAGGAACACCGGUGGCGAAGGCGGCUCUCUGGUACGUGACUGACGCUGAGACACGAAAGCGUGGGGAGCGAACAGG
rnacentral:rRNA from 1 species